UCAUCCCUCAAGCCACAACAGCCCAAGAGAGUGACCCUUGUUACAACUACACUGUGCUGAACGACACCUGGAGGGCCACCACCAACCAGAACCGAUCAGAUCCCAAGUGUGACCGUUCCUUUAAGGGUGUUACAGUCCAGUGGCAGGGCUGGUACCUGUUUGUCCACCAGGAAGUGAGCGUUCGGAUUCCCAACACGUGUGUGCCUAUGUAUCGCUGUGGUACGCAUAUAACCCUCUGGCUGAACGGCUCUCACCCUCGCCCAGAGGAUGGCAUUGUGACCAGGGAGGUGUGUGUGCAAGCUGGAUGAAUCAAUGCUGCUAUAUCAAACCACCCUCCAUACAGGUUAAAGCGUGUCCUGGAAACUACACUGUUUACAAACUUGUGGAUCCUGAUACUAUUAUAUUCAGUUGUUAUAUUGCAUACUGUGCAGAUUUCAGCGAUAAAGGAGCCCUUCCAACUAAAAGUCCCGAUCCAAGUCAUGUUGUUGGUUUACUUCUGAAGGUCUCUGCUGUUAAGACUUUGAAUGAAACUGAGAUUGAGGAGCAGAUACUGAAGCCAUUUGGAGAAACCCUCAGAGCACGAGGACUAGAUGUUACUGGGAUCCGGUUAAGAAGAGUUCAUCAGACUGGACCGUAAGGGAACAGAGGAGGAACGUGAAGCACAAUGCAGGACACUCGCCCACUGCAGAGAUGACAUGGAUGUGUAAACAUGAGACGGCAUUAUUACUCUGUGUGUGAUGUCCUAAACAUGAGACAGCAUUAUUGCUCUGUGUGUGAUGGCCUAAACACGAGACUGCAUUAUUACUGUGUGUGUGAUGGCUAACAAUCUGUUAGUGUUUUCCUAAACAUGAGACGGCAUUAUUACUGUGUGUGUGAUGGCUAACAAUCUGUUAGUGUUUUCCUAAACAUGAGACGGCAUUACUACUCUGUGUGUAAUGGCUAAAAAUCUGUUAGUGUUUUCCUAAACAUGAGACUGCAUUAUUACUCUGUGUGUGAUGGCUAAAAAUCUGUUAGUGUUUUCCUAAACAUGAGACUGCAUUAUUACUCUGUGAGUAAUGGCUAAAAAUCUGUUAGUGUUUUCCUAAACAUGAGACGGCAUUAUUACUCUGUGUGUGAUUUCUAAUCUGUUUUCCUGAACAUGAGACAGCAUUACGACUCUAUUCUAUUUGUUAUAGCAAAAUAAAGCUGUUUUCCUAUUUA